GUCUCCUGAAGGAACGUUGAAGACGACGACGUUGAUAGGUCGGGUGUGUAAGUGUAGCGAUACAUUGAGCUAACCGAUACUAAUGAACCGUGAGGCUUAACCUU
rnacentral:rRNA from 2 species